GACUCUCGGCAACGGAUAUCUCGGCUCUCGCAUCGAUGAAGAACGUAGCGAAAUGCGAUACUUGGUGUGAAUUGCAGAAGAACCAUCGAGUCUUUGAACGCAAGUUUAGGCGAAAGAGCUUAUAAGCUCGAGAACGGCGAGGCGUGA
rnacentral:rRNA from 1 species